GAUGAACGCUGGCGGCGUGCCUAAUACAUGCAAGUCGAGCGAACAGACGAGGAGCUUGCUCCACUGACGUGAGCGGCGAACGGGUGAGUAACACGUGGAUAACCUACCUAUAAGACUGGGAUAACUUCGGGAAACCGGAGCUAAUACCGGAUAAUAUAUUUAAACACAUGGUUCAAGAUUGAAAGACGGUUUUGCAUUCACUUAUAAAUAGAUCCGGUCCGCAUUAGCUGGUUGGGAAGGAAACGCCUAACCAAGGGAACGAUGAUAACCCGCCCUGAAAGGGUGAUGGGCCACACGGGAACUGAGCAACGGCCCAGACUCCUCCGGGAGGAAGAAGUAGGGAAUCUUGCGCAAUGGGCGAAAGCCUGACGGGGCACCGCGGGGUGAGUGAUGAAGGUCUUCGGAUCGUAAAACUCUGUUAUUAGGGAAGAACAAAUGUGUAAGUAACUAUGCACGUAUUGACGGUACCUAAUCAGAAAGCCACGGCUAACUACGUG
rnacentral:rRNA from 1 species